AAGUGCUGGGAUUGCAGACGUGAACCCCUGUGCCUGGAUGACUUAUUUUUAAAUAAUUUCUGAAAAUGCACAAAGCUUAAUUAUGUAGCUUUGUAUAUUUUCAAAAAUGUAUACACUUCUGUAACUAUUACCCAAUUCAAGAUUAAAAAACAACAACAACAACAACAAAAUUUCUUUCACCUCUGAAGUCUCCCUUAUAUUUCUUAUCAUUUCCAUUUUAUGCCUUUGUCCCAAAAAAGUAAUCACUCUUCUGACUUCUAUCAGUACAGGUCGGUGAAAACAUCUUUGAUCCUCCAUUGACCCAUUGGCCUUUGGGAGCCACCGAAAUAGACCAAUGAACCCCUGAAGAUAUCCACAGAUGAAUUUUAUUUAAUUUUUAUUCACUAUAAAGUGUACUGUUAAUUCUAUAUUUUUAUUUGUGCAAUAAUCUAUAGAGAGAUUAUAUGCUAUAAUUUUGUAAAUAUAUCUAAUAAUAGAAAAUGUGGGCAUUUUGUUUACAUUCAUGAUUACAUUUAUAUUAAGAUAUAUCAUGAUUUAUGUGAUGGUUAAUUUUAGGUGUUAAUUUUAGAGUCCUAAUUUUAGGACUCUAUUAAGGUACCCCCAAGUAGUUGGCAAAGCAUUAUAUAUGAGUAUGUCUGUGAGGGUCUUUCCAAAAGCGAUUGUCAUUUGAACUAGCAAACUGAGUAGAAGACCCACCUUCAGCCUAUGUGGAUGGGUACCAUCCAAUCAGCUGGGAGCUCUGAUACAACAAAAAGACUGAAUAAUAA